AAGAGGGUCAUAGCUUAUUCAACUUGCAGUCAAUUAGGCUAUAUGAUCUUUGCUUGCGGCAUCUCUAACUAUUCGGUUAGCGUCUUUCACUUAAUGAAUCACGCGUUUUUCAAAGCAUUACUCUUCCUGAGUGCGGGUUCGGUGAUUCAUGCCAUGUCGGAUGAGCAAGAUAUGCGGAAGAUGGGGGGGCUUGCCUCCUCCUUUCCUUUGACCUAUGCCAUGAUGCUCAUGGGCAGCUUAUCUCUUAUUGGAUUUCCUUUUCUAACUGGAUUUUAUUCCAAAGAUGUGAUCUUAGAGCUCGCUUACACAAAGUAUACCAUCAGUGGGAACUUUGCUUUCUGGUUGGGAAGUGUCUCUGUCCUUUUCACUUCUUAUUACUCCUUUCGUUUACUAUUUCUAACAUUUCUAGUACCAACUAAUUCAUUCGGGCGAGACAGAUUACGAUGUCAUGAUGCGCCCAUUCCUAUGGCCAUUCCUUUAAUACUUUUGGCUCUCGGGAGUCUCUUUGUAGGAUACUUGGCCAAAGUGUGACCUGUUAGCCCAUAAGUCAGUACUGUGACGAAGCGGCUGUUGCUCACCCGAUACGAUCGUACGAGGUCACAAUUUACCCAACACGAUCAUCCGGGGUGAACAAGAAUUGGGGAUCGGAUGCGGGCGAAAUUCCCGCCAAUGGCUGAGAUGUUCAGUCGACUCCCUCCCCCUUUGUGAGGGUCUGGACCCCUACGAGUGAGCAGAAAAGGGAGGAGGAAAGAGGCCCUGGUGAACCGUCAUAAUAAGUGAACAAGUGUAAGCUUUGCUGCCCGACAGUAUGGAGUACUGACCACACCGAGGGACAGGCCCUGAAGCGAAGGACAGGAACGAGCGGAAUCAAUGUGUUCCAAUUUCUGGCCUUGCACCGACCAUCCAACGGACCAUGGACUAAACGGCCACUGCCUGAAAGGACUAUGCUAUGUCCAGGGGACCGCCGCCCUCCACAAGGUACAUCUUGCGCCUAUGGGCCGCUAUAACUAUCCAAGAAGACACUCGAAAAAGGAUGGAUAAACAAACCUACCCGGUGGACUGCCGAGCUACAAGUCCUACGACACAGGAGCGGGAUUCUCUAAAAAGCCAAGGUCGUGGGUGGCCAAGAGGGCCCACUUGGAGACUUGGGAUCUCAGCAGGAAAUGUGAAGGUUGCUUAAAGCCGGCCGAUAGGCGAAAUAGAAUCAAAAAGUUUUGUUCUGAUCUGAGUAGGCUCAACAUAGGGAAUACCCUAACCCUGGGAACCGGGGCAUAUAAAUCCGCUUAUGGCAUUCACCCAAGCAUACAGAGACAGAUGGAAUGAAAGAAAGAAAAAGUAGCUCCGCAGCUCACCCAGAAGAAGAAAGACCCGCCGCUAACCUAACGAUUUGGAAAUCCCUGGUGGGCUGGGCCUGAAAGACAAGUGUGUGUGGAUUUCUACAUCCUCGUCUUUACUUUAAGACACAACUCUUCUCUUUCUCGGUCAAAUGACUUGCGAUAGUCUACCUUGAGUAGGACCAUAGGGAUCUUAUGUUUGUGGCGAAAGAUAAGUGGUUCUGUCACAACCAAUAAAGUUUCUAUGAGUGAGCGACCCUUGAUAAACGCCGAUUGAUACGUGUCAAUGUCAAUAAGUGGAUGAGUGUUGUUAAAGACAAUGUUUGUUCCUCUUCUUUGAAACGAUUUUGAUGAAUCUCGAAAUGAUACUGAUUGGCCUGAAAUCCUCGACGGUGUUGGCAUCUUUUUUCUUUGGGAGGAGAGUGAUGGAUGCCUGGGUUAGCCUCCAAACAUAAAGGCCAUUGCUAUGAAAGAGCUGCAAGAGAGAAAGCAGUUGCGGGUGGAUGAUGUCCCAGAAGGCUUGGAUUACACAGAUUCUACCAGAGGAUGUUGAGAUGCUCCCAUUGCAACUCACUGAUGGAGAAGAACUGGAGAGCUCAGCUAGAGCUGGAGGAGGUGGUAGUACCAGUUCCCUACUGGUACCAGUGGUGGCUUGAUCACUUCAAAUUGGAGGGACUAUUGGGCCAAAUUCCCAUACUGUAAAAAAAGGUUUUCUUUUCUGAUAUAUCGGAGCAGAGGCCGCCAGGUUGAAGCUUUAGUGCCUUGUAGAUGUCAAAUAGGCUUAUAAAGGCCUCCUUCUUUGAUGAGCUUGCACUACGGUCUCAACUUGAGCCAACAAGGACUCUCUCUGGAAAAGUAUGCUCGUAGUUCCAGACCUUAAAUCAGUUGCAAUACAAAUAGUUUUCAAUAAAAAAUAAGAGAAAUGAAUGAAACAUUUAUAUAUAUACAUAUGUACUUAUGAUAUAUAAAAUCACCGUCAGUGCAAAAGAGCAUCCAGAAAUGCUUGGGCAGCCACUCUUCCCAGUAGUUGUCUGGUUUUGUACUGUUUGGGCCACCUCUUGCAAAUUCUUUAAGGUGAGUAUGUUCACCGCUGGACCCCAAGCAUACUGCUAAAGCUCGUCAAGGUUUUAAACAUAGUCCCAGAGAAACAUAGGCCAACACGAAUCAUCACGAGUUCAAAUCCUUUCCGCAAAGCCUUGAUCCCGGCUUUCCAAAACAAAAAUUCUUAGAUUGCCUUGUUUGUCCACUUAAGCCGUGGGUGGUACCUCUGCUUCUAAGCGCUCGGUAUGAUCGGCAUUGGAAAAGAAGUGGAUUUUUUAGAACAUCUACUUGAUUUGAAUGUUCCGUUUCUGAAAACCAAUGAGAAAAUGUAGGUUAGCAAUCCGAAAGGUCAGGAAGAACUGGCUUUAUGCCGGAAAGAAGGAAUACUCGACGAAAAGUAACUAGCGGCGAAUCGUCUGAGCGGGAAUCGUUCUUCGUCUCUCGUCAAUGAGCUGUCUUGAGAUCGCUUGCCUACGCUAUCGGGUGCAGUGAGUGCUCUGAAUGAUGAGUUACUUGUUCAGCGAAGCGGGUCGCCUGUCUCCUUGUUCGGACGUAGGUCUUUAACACUCUUGCUAGUGGUCUAUUAUAUUCUUUGAUGGAUCAUCAAAUUCAAUAGGUCUUUUAGGACCAAAAUCAAAGUAGCAAUGGUUCAUGUAGCCUAGCCCCUUGAAGUGAUGAGAAAAAGAAAACAGCGUCUUUUUCCGAUCUACGUGUAGUGCAAGAUGCUGGGUGCCAUGGAUCGAGUGAUCAAAUCAGAAUUGUUUUCAAAGUGAAAUGUUGAUCCUUUAGUUUUAGUUAUUCAAUAGAAGGGACCGCUUUCCGCUAAGGGAGGGUGGCGCCUUAGCUGGGGUCAGCUAGUACCUUAACUAGCCAGGAGGUUUUUUGAUCCUCGAAUAAAUUCUAUAUCAUUGCUUUCCCCAUGUACACGUUCGGCCGCAGCCAUAACUGAUGAUUGGUGAUUCCUGCCAAUCAUUAAUCUCUCCAUUUCCUCGUAUAUCGCUCUUUGAAAUUCCACUACCCUUUCAUCGGUCGGGUCCAGACAAAAAGCGUAGGUUUUGAUUGGUAAUCUUGAGUUGUCAUCUUUUGAAAGAGAGUAACUUGCUGGAUGGAGAGCAGCUAGGAGAAUAAAGUUCAUCUUUACCCCAUCUUUCAUUCCAACUCUAUUUUCUUGUGUGCGAUCCUUCUUUCUGGUUUGGAAUCCAAGAAGCUCAAUGGGCUAGUUUCAAGUUCGAUCAGACACGAAAUCUGGUAUAGCCACCAGCCUAGAUAGAACGGGCGGGGGAAGAAAAACUAGGAGCGAGCCACAUUCCAGAGGGUUGUCAAAGGCCCUCUCAAUAGAGCUAUUUUGUCAUUGAAUCGAUGGAGGGAAGACUCCUUCGGUAGGUGCCCCCGACUCUUCCAGUUUCUGGGUGGGAUCUUAUGGCUCUGAUUGCGCAGGAUUCAUCUUUGUUUGCUCAGACCCUGAACCAGGAGUUGGAAGCGCCUUUGCCAGACUUUCCAAUUGAACACGAUGCGGGCGAUGCAACUCGGCAAGGAGAAGGCUGAACCCUGGUGCUACACUACAGCAGAAGCUUUGGCAGUUUACCAUGGCUUGAUGUUAUAGUUGUCAUGCUAAAGCCGUUGAUAGCUACUUCGCUUGACGAGCUAAGUAGAAAGACUUUGUGGAUUCAUCCACAACUGAUGGUGCUUUAGGUUGAUCUGAUCCCUAGAAGGAAGAGUUUUGGGCUUAAGGCAUAAUUGCUCUAUUGCGGCUACCCUUGCUAUGUUAUCCGAUGCUGUUCACAAAGCGGCUCUUACUAUAGACCCGGCUAUCUCCGAGUUGAAAUUGAACCCAGCCCCGGGUUUCCGUCCAUCAAUCCAGAGCUCAAGACAACCGCGAUACUUAAAUCGCUCAAAUAGCCACCUUAGACGGACACAGCCAUUAGAAGAAGAAACUGAAACUCGAUGGAGUACCAGAGAUCCUCGACAAAGAAAGUCUCGAUUCGAGGAACGGAAUACAGGUCCAUGAUAGAACACAGACCGGUAAGAGAAAAGAAAGUAAGCAUAGUCUUCAUUGAACCGGAAGAACAAUUUGAUUUUCCGUCAACAAAGUAACGCUGUGCAAACUCAUCUGAUCCCUGUUUGGGACUUCUUCUUCAUGUCACGAGCCGGAAUCGAACCGUAGACCUUCUCGGUAAAACAGAUCAAACGGAUUAUUAUCGAAAUGAUUCGAACUGUUUCAAAGACCCAACAUGCAUUUUUCUGCAUUGGGCUCUUUCAUCAACUGAUGUAAAGAUCAGUUAAUUCGCCAUAGUUUUUCUUUAGGGAAAGAUAAUAAGAUGGCUCCCUGUGCUCUGAUUGAUUAUUUGUCUUAUGAUCUAUCUAGGAACAAUACCAAAGUGUUUCAAAGGAGGAUUACCUUGACUUAGGUCUGCCUCCGGCCUAAAUUAAAUCAACCUAAGUGAAAUGGAGUCUCUAUCGUUCCGCUGCAAGAGUUUACUAUGAGACUUCAUACACCUUAAAGUUCAUAGAACGAAAAGAAGUUUUUUGGAGGCCCUUAUCCUCAUUACGCCUAGCAUUGAGUGGGCUGGAUAUUUACCUUAUCAACUAGCAAAUCAAUAGGGGUUCUAUUUGAGUAAGCACCUGAAUUGGCACCUGAAUCGGACUGAACCGGCUGUUUGUCAUUGUCAGGCUACUGUUCUUCUAUUCUUUCGAAUCCAUGAAGUAAGACAUUGAUUUUGCAACAAGGUCAAUUAUGUUCAUUGCAUAAUAAGUUCCCGCAUUGGCGCACGUGUAAACGAGUUGCUCUACCGAACUGAGCUAUAGCCCUUGUCAGAGAUAUCUUAACAUAUAGAUAAUUUCUUGUCAAGAUGAAUAUUCUCUAAUGCCAGAGGAUAUCCCUUUCAUCCGUUUACUAUAUAACAUAAACAUACCAAUAACGGAGCGGUAUUGCUUAUAAAAAGGAUUCGAUCUAUAAUAGAUUCUUUGACAGGCUUUGGUCGAGCAACCGAUAAAGAUACAUUUCUUAAACCGGAAAUACUUUGCCAGCCGAAUGGUCUGCCCUGGAUUUUAGCCAGAUGGUGAUUGGGGACCAAGACUUACCACAUCUUCAUGAAAUCUGGGCCGACUUUGUGCAGUACGGUGUACAAAGCGGUUUUUGGGAAGACGCCGUGAAUCUUAUCACUGUAAUGGAAAAUGAGGAUUCCGCUGAAGGUUUUUUGGAGAGUCCUCUGGAUCAAUUUAUUUCGUGGAUCGAUUGAAAUAACCGAUUUUGGUGUAUUAAUUCAAGAUAGGUAAUUAUCCUCAUGGUCAUAAAGAUCGGUCAUCUAGCGUGGACUUCUGACUCUAGGUGGAAAGUCUUUCUCAUCUACCUUUUCCAUCCAAAACCGUUUAGCCGCAGGGCCCGCUGCCAAGUUACUUAAAUCUAUAUCGGAGCUAUAGGAUCGGUAGACACGUAAGCGAAGAUGGUUCGCUCCCACAUAAAGAGACGGAUAUUCGAUGUGUUUAGCAUAGUGACACUUUUUUGGUGCCGAAACAGCCCCAAUCCCUUGGGUCAUUUCGCUUUUCGUGCUGGCCUGUAUUCGGAGUUUCUUGGAUUUGCGGGAAAGCCUUUCUCUUUCUUUUUGGUGACGUCGGAUGCCCGCCUUUGGCGCUCAGAAGUGGAUUCUCCUUCAAAGAGGGCUUUUCCCUGGGCGAAAGGGACAUGGUUGUACUGGAUUUCUAGUCCUAUAGUGGAAGAGCAGAUAGGAUCACACCUACACGUAAGUUCGUUCGUUGGGUUAGUGGCCACCCGCACUCCAACCUAUCUAUAUGGCAACAAAGCGAAUGACAAGGCAAAAGUCGCUGACUCUUAUCGCUAACUUUACUCGGUCUAAGGGCGAGCUUGAAUACAACUCACAGAACGACUCCUCCAGGGGCCUUCAGGCACUCAAACAGAUAGUGAGACAGACACCAUCUAUAGAACUUGAAUGACAAUACACCUUUAUAUUCUAGCUAACAAUCUGAAACUGUAUCCAAAUGGAGGGGACACUCUUCCUUCAGAAAGAUGCCUUCGAAAGACUCGCUCUUCCCCUCAACGACACAGCACAUUUUCUCAAAUGUUCCACGUUUCUAACCAUAUCCUCAUAGGGCUGAAGCACAAGAAAGAGGAUUACUUGGUUACCUUGCUUCCCUCGCCUAGGACAGUAGAAGGAUCUGUGGCCGAAGGCGCCACAAACGAAGCGGGUCGCCUCUUUUCUGCAGAUCUCCGCAAGAUGACCCUUCUCCCCGCAACGAUAGCACAUAACGUUUUUCCCAUGCUUGCGCGGUGAGGAGGACGGGCCCUGAAGCUUUUCUCAUGUUUGAAUGGAGGUCUUCCGCAAAUGAAUUUUCAUAUAGGAAUUAGAUAAUGCGCCUGCAGAUAUUGAUUGAAAGCUUGUUUCAAUUGAACGAGGAUGUGAACGAGAAGGCAACAAAAGGGAGCUUGGAGCAAGAGGAGUCAUUUAGUAGUUCACGAAAAAAGGCAUAGUAGAGAAAGGCGGACCAGGCAAUCUCUGAGUUGAAAUCGAUCCCAGACAUCCAUCUCUUUCAAAAAGUUCUAAAGGCCGACUACUACAGGGUGCGUGCGCAGGGACUGAUCGGGACGACCUCGUCGAACAAAUAUGAGUAGACUAGAUCUAGUGUGGUGGUACCAAAUACGAAGUUCUCCUUCUCAUUGAAAAAACUGUGUGUGACUGUAAAGCAAGUGCCCACAACAAGACCAAUCCAUAUUACCGAGAAAUUGGAUGAAUCGGUAGCCUCAAUCAAUUAGUCUAGCUAAUCGGUUAAGGAAGAGCUGCUCCUUGGAUUUCAGGGAAUCUUCUCUAGAGCCCUACCUGGAGUACUAGGAUCUUUCCUUAGUCCUCCCAGAGACUGCAUGCAAGAAAACCGUAGGGAAGAGGACAAGCUGGAAGAACACUCCCAAGGUAAAAAAGAAAUCCAUCCCCGGGGAAGGAGAAAGCUCACUGAUACUGUAUUGCUAGAAACUGGCACUGCAACUUCUGGGUUUUACCUUAGGAUUGCAAUUGGGCUUGCUUCCCUUUUCACUGCAAUUCGCUCAAGGGGAUAUUUUCUAGAUAGACUAGGGGAUCUUUUCUAAAUUGUUGUUCGCAUAGUUCUAUUAAAAUAGGAGGAUUUCUAUGACCAACAGCAUAGGUCAGAGUCUAGGUUUAUCCCUUCUCCUUCUACUUACUUGAGAGUAGGGAGCUAAACUAGAUAAGUCUUAAGCAAAGACUGGGUGCACCCUCCCCAUUCGUAACUGCUUACAGCGGAACUUCUACUAUUCAUUCUAUCCACUAUCUCUCGACAAAUGAAUCUGAAUCAAAGUAGAGUAGAAGGCCAGACCUUAGGCGAAUUUCGGUAUCAAGAGAUGAAAGUGAAAGGCGGAGGUAUCCUUGGACCCCAGAAGCUAGUUCCAGUAUCCUCAUUUCUUUGGACACCAAACAUGCAACAUAUCCUCCAUUGGCAUUAACACAUCAUAGUGAAGCUUCCUUCACUGAACAGAUCUUCAGCAAGAAGUGACUAGUUGUCAUUCCAAACUCCUUACUCUUCCUCGUCAAUUUCAUUGCCUUAAUGGCAGCAGUCUGAUCCCUUUCUUCGAUAAAUGGAGCCGUGUGACAGCGCAGGUAGUCGCUUAGUUUCUUUCCCUGGUUGGCUAAUGCUUAACACUGGUCAGAUACCAUAAGUUAUGGUAGUGCUCGCUCGGCAAAUCCUAUCGGUUCAGCAGCGUCCUUAGUAGGAGCAGAAGGGAUGUAGCGAGGAGCCGAAACCUACCGUUACGGAACCGUGGAAAAAGCCGAAACCUAGCCCUGAUCUGAACUUCAAUAACAACCAUUGCCUUACGUACCAUUGGCUGGGAAAGGAAGGUAAAGUAGCUGUCGUCUUUGGUCAAGUAGAUCUAGCUGAUUGACUCGUUCAUAGGCGAAAAUCAAUGCAUCGAACCCUUUGCCGAUCAAAAGAUUAGGAACCGUCCUCCUUUUCCCUCAUCCCCUUGAUCGACUGUCCCUAAAGCAAAGAGCCAAUGCCAGCUAGUCUUCUCCUCCUUAAAGCUUAUGGGCUAACCGAGUGUCGAACUCAUACCUUCUACGCUCCGUUCCUGGGAUUGGCUAAUGCCUUUUUCCAAACAAUAGGAUAUCCUGGUUUGUGCCACUUUCACGGCGGGAUUUUUGUCCAUUUUCUUCGCAUUCUAUUCCGAAAAAGGGCUAGGCUCAACCUAAGGAUUUCAAACCUGACUUUAGGCUGACGACUGCUUCGAGAGCAGAUAGAGCAUCCUCUUCUGGGCAUGAAUCCGAUUUUCAUCAAUCCGAAUAGUAAAUGGCCCAGCAGCUUCCUCCUUUGAUGCUUCCUGCUGCACUCGUCCCUCGUCAAGCCAAUAGAACAAGCCCUAUGAUGAGCCUAGCCCUGCUAUCACUUCGGGGAGGGGGAAGUACGGGUUGUUCUUUCCGGGAAGGAAGGGCCAUGUUAGGCCGUGUGGUCGAUCCCUUAGUUCCAGUCAUCGAGGUCAGGGUUUCCUCUUUUCUUAUCCGAGCCAUGCUUCUACCUUUCUUAUCUGCCUACUACUAGCCUUCCUUCUUACUUUCUGGUUGGAGUAUUUCUAUUGACGGAUCGAGGUCCGGGUCCUUGGCCUACGCUUUGGAACCUGGAAGAAGGAGACUCAUUAGCUGAAGAAGUAAGCAGACCUAGAUAUUCCCUUAACCUAACCAGCCGGAAUCCUUAUUCCAAUAACCCUUUGCCCUUGCUAACCGAGGGAGAUUCCUAACUGGCACCCAAUCCGAGUUUCUUUCUCCUAGCUAUCCGACGUCCGCUAACCGGAUAUUUACGCCCAGAGGGGGUUCGCAAUAGUUGACCGACUAUAAGCUUCCUCCGCGGGGAGGGCUCCUUCUUUUUGCAACUAAAACCUAUCCGCUUCCUUGAGAAAUUCAAUACCUACUUCGGUACGAUACAUACGGCCUCGGCAAAGCAGAGAAGGAAUAGCGAUGCGAUUCCUACUAGUACUAACGAUUCAAACCUAGCCCCUUAGACUGUUCCUAUCACCUGCCCGGGAUAGCCGGUACGGUUGUAGUAUUCCGAUCCCUAGCUGUUCAUAUGCUGUAGUUCCUCGGCAAAGGCCAUUGAUUUCUUUUCUUUCAUCAAAAUCAAAUGAAAGCAAAGAACCUAAGGAGAUACGAUUCCUACGCAUUGGGAAGAAGUUGUUCGCCAAAGCACAUUAGGAUUGUGAUAAUGUCAUCUCCACUUUAAUACUAAUAAGAGGAUUAGCGCACGGUACUAUCCCCCAGUCCAGGGCAAAGGUACUUCCAACUGCUCCUGUCCGCCCCUUGAUUUAUCACCCCUUUGGUCUUUUAUUGGUCAUUGAUUUAUAGACGGGAAGAUAAGUACCCUGGCUCGAGCCCAGAUAUCGAUUUACCAUUCCUUUAUCGGAUCUCCGAAACGGGAAACAAUAAAAGUAAUAGAAAUCGUGUGCCAGCGGGAGAUACGAAAUUCACUGGUUUUUACUCUCAAUCCACAGGUGGAGAUACCUGGGGUGGGUUUUCAUGGCCUAUAGUCCCCUGCCGCCGAAGCACGAACUACUUGAAAUCGCGGAUCUAUCCAAUUAGAUGCGACAUUCCUUCAAUGCAAACGUGGUAUUUUUCUACCCUUUGAUAGAUAGCAAGCAGCUCCUAUAACUUGAUCGACAGGACCCAACCAACUAAACUAUUGAUUUUGGCAAAGCUAGACCUUUUGAGGAAAGCAGAUGCAGAUAACGAAAGGAAGCUAUUAGUUUUUCUUGUACUCGACUCGGCUUUUCUUUACUGACCGCUUUCGUAAGGAAAGAAGACAAUAGGAAAACCAGGUGAGAAGUUUUAGAGCAACCGAUGCCUACCGUCCGGCGAUAUCCCUAGGUGGAGCUGGCUUACCACAUUCCGAUACCUCGGAACCUUCCCUUCGUCAAUUUUGAAUAACGAAAGUAUCAACCGCUUGCUGGCAUGCCAAAACACUUAUUAUGUUUAUGUGAAGUGGAUUCAUCGGAAGAGAGAGGUAAAGCAUUUGAAUUCUUCGCUUUUGAGCUGUAAGUAUUUCGCAAGGCGGCCCGGGGGUCUUCUUCGUUUAAGGGGCAGUUGAGCAACCAAUCAUACUACGUAGUACGGGAAUUGUAGUUCACAAGUGAAGCCUCCCAUGAGUGACUAGUUGGGUGGUAUAUGAAAAAUGGGUCAGUUAUAAACAAAUCCGUCUUUUACGGCCGAUUGAGACUGUCUUCCCUAGAAAUAGAAUAAGAAUGUAUGCUCUGGAGUAAAAGGAUUCGAACCUUUGCAUGCCGGUACCAAAAACCGAUGCCUUACCACUUGGCUAUACUCCAAACGGUCGGUUCCUGGGGAGAGGGGGAAGGGAGAAGCAGGGCUCGAAGAAAACGAGCCGUGCAAGGACGCGGGGAUAUAGCAAGUAAGCUGCAAGGUUUUCCCUUUAGGACCGACUACAACAAGCUCGCGACUCUAAUAGAAACUAAGGGUCAGCUCUCUGCUCUAUUUGCUUGCAAUGCGUUGCCUAUCAAAGUCGGCGAACGCUUCCACCCCCUCUUGCCCUUGUUACGCAACACGCCAACAAAGAACCUUGGUUCCGUUGCGCCCUGUAUUCCGAGGCGACCAUUUCGCGCGGUUCGAUCCAUUUCCCGAUCCGCAAAAUCCGAUAACGUACCUAUAUGAGUGGGAUGGAUGGUAAAUCAUUUGCAGUCUUUUUCGGCAGGACCUAGACACGGAGGUUCGGGAAGUAGCGCAUGACAGCAUUCACUGGUGAAAGGACUGGCAGCAGCGAGAGCAUCAUAGUUGACAUGGUCGGAGCUACAGUCCCCAUAUCCGUCUCUACUCUUUCUGUAAUUGACUCCCUCCCGCUCCCGUCCAUCAAAAAGUGUUAUUUCCUCCAGCUCCCGACUCCGCUUCUCCCUCCGAUGCCGGUAGAUUAGAUUAAUUCAUUGACAAAACCCAUUGAUUCCAAGCAAGAGGAUGCGCGUUAGCGCAACGGCUUUCGCGCUAGUUGCUCAAUCCGUUGCUUGUUUGGUGAGAAAAUCGCUGAUGCGAACUCGGUAGUGCUACUGAAACCACUUUGUGCAUCUUCUGUUGCCAGGAAAGAAAGACGUGCUGGGUCUUUAAGAGUCACGCUUGCUAAUACGGCCCGGCUGCCCCUAUACAGAAAUAGUUUAAUCGAUUGACCGACUUAACAUACGCGUUUUCGUUAUGGACAAGCUCUCCUUCUGUGCGCAUCGAUCGACCGACGUAGGGAUUUGCAUGGGGCGUUGCGCGUCGCGUCGGAGAUUGUCAGACAAUAAACGUUUCAAUGGGUGUAGGUACAGGGGGAGGGGGUGUGGCGUACGCCACUGACUUUCUGGUGUGCAGGAUGCACUUCCCACAUGAUUGUACAGUAGGCGUUGGAGCCCUCAUCUGUAGGUACAUGGAGGUGAUCGCAUAUGCGGAGCAGCUUCCUUCGAGAUGCCUUUGACCCGGGACCUACGCACGAGAGCGUUAACAUCAAGGACGGAAGGAUUCCCAUGCAUGAUGCGUACAACUCUAAUCGCGAAGCGAAGUAAAAAAAACAAACCGAUGAAAGGAGAGAAUGCGGGAGACAGAAUGAUGUCGGGCCAGCACAAGAAGUCAGACUAAACAACCCAUUCGACGCGUCGGGGGUACUCGACCACCGGGAGAUAGGGAUUUAGUGACUUACCAACCAACCAGACAUUGAGGGCAAGACAUACCAUACAAAUCACGGCUUCGGCUGCUGUAGUCCUCUAGCCGAGCCACUACUAGCGUGUGUGUAAUUCAUGGCAGUUCACUAUUUUUUUGGUUAUGGAGCUAUUCUCUUUCUUUUAUUUUUAUAUAGUAUAGAGAGCGGUAAGUUAGUGCUGUUCUAAGGAAGUGGUAGCUGUUCCAGUACACAAAGAAGGGAGAUUUGUGUAACCCGAGCUCUUUGAUCAAGACGGUGUGGCCAAAGUCAAUCCUUUGAGAAAAAAGUCAUUGAUUUUCGUUGGCUAUAGUGAUCAGCACAAGGGGUACUGCUGUUAUGAUCCCCGCACGCAGACUCAUCUCAAGACAUGUCACAUUUGAUGAAACACGAUUUGCCUCGCUACCCCAUGCGCCUCUUCUCGGGGAGAGAUACACACACGCGCGAUGACUGCUUUGCCACCGCCCACUCUAUGUGCUCCGAUUAGCGUUCCGACGCCUGGCAGUGCACACGGCUCAGAUUCGGUUGACCACGCUCACAUCCGCUUCAGACAUAAAGGACCAUUGAGGUCCGGCCCUAUCGUACUGGAAGUCCCAUGCUUUUCGUUUUUCUUCUCGUGCGUUAGGAUUGAAACCUAAGCUAAUUAAGCUACUAUCUCUGGAGAAUGGUAUCCGUUCAUUUCUGCCUGUCCAUAAGCGUAUAUAGGAUGAAGUCUAAACGAAUCAACGAAAAUUACGGUUAAGGCAUUUGAGAAUAUUAGCAUUGGGCACUCUAACUCGAAGGAAGAAGCCGAAGCCAGUCCAGUAGCUCGAACUCAGACUAUCUACGAAAAAGAUGGCAUUCUCCCUUAAUCUGCCUUGUUUUGAGAAGCGGGGAGGUAGUUUUGUCAAGCUCGUUAAACGCAACGACAGUCAAGGCUAGGAAGAUUUUCCAGGCCAGCCAACAAAGUGGGAUAUUCUUUGGAAGAAAGCCUGUAUUGUUUGACAAGAUCUUUAGGUCGGUCUCAACACGUUGGCAUCUUCUAUUCCUGACUCAUUGGGGAUAUUAUGCCUUUUGCUUGUCAGAAGUAGACCGACGAUACGGACUAAAGUAAGUCAGAUCUCAAAAUAUUUCAUCAUACUCAGUCCUGAAAGAACAAGCAAGGGAUGAGCGCACGCUGGUAGUAGAAGGAAGCGGAGAUGGAGGCAGCUAGGCAUCAGUUUGAGUUCGAGAUCGAGACCAGCUUCAGCCACUAUUGCUAGGACGGGCUUACUUAGACUGAGAACAGAGAUUCUUUUCUCUGCUAUGCUAUGCUACUUUCCUCUUUCUUCCCUGAGGGCAUUCCUUUCCUGAACAUAGAGCCAAACAGUCUUGCCCGGAACUCUAUCCCCCCGAUUCCUUCCCUUCUUGAAGAAAACGAUACCGAGAACACCAUCCAGGCAAUAGCACUUGAAAAAAUGAAAAUACCAUCUGCGUCAGAAAAUAUUCUAUUGCUAUUCUGUUGUUGAGGCUUCGAAAGCUUACUGCCCGGCCAUGCUACUCUGUUUUGGUUGACUUCUGACACUGCUGAUUCCAUCUUUAUAUCGUUCGAGCUAGCCCCAUGACUUCUUGGUCGAGCGCAGCUCUUGUUCGAUUUCUCUUUCUUUGAUCGAGCGCAGCGAGAAGCAAGUCUGGCGAACCUUGUGCUAAAAUUCCUUCUUUUCUUUCUUUCUUGGUUUUGGAUCGGUUUGUUAAAGGUGGGAAAGGUUUGUUUACAAAGGCAUGACUCAACUGCUGCAAACUUAUCAGGAUUGUACCUACCGUUAAAUUCGUGCCGCAUGGCAGUCUUGCAUGUAAAAGGGCCUGUGGUGGUGGUUAUCUAUCAGGCGGGAAGCGCCAAGCCUAUCACGCGGGAAAGACCCCUAACCUACCACCAACUUACCUUCCAACCAAGCCCUUCGAUCCCGCGCUGCUGCUGGGUAUAUAAUCUCGGUCCUCCCCUUACUUUGAAGCCUACAGCUCCACAAUUCGUUUUCCUGUAAUUAAUGGCAGGAAUCCAAAAGAUACUGUUUUUUCUUUUUCUUGUCUUUUUUCUGCUUUUUCAUGGCAUCGAAGCUACGCGAGGGAAAGCGAUGCUGCCCACUCUGCCGCAAAAGGGGGCGGCUUUCUUCUUCCCCAAAAUGACAGUUCCACCAUCAGGGCCCAGCAUGCAGCAAAAUUCUGUGGAGAGGCUGCGUUUUACAGCAAAGCGCCUUGUGCCAUCCGGCGCUAAUCUUCUACAUCACUAGGUUAGCGGGACCUGAAGAAAGACUAAGUCCGUCUGUCGAAAGCUCAGUUGUUGGUUUGGUGAUACUAGUGCUUUCUAGUGUUUGAGUUGUUCAGGAGUCGUUAUAAGUCAGAUUACCUCAUUGUAACGCAGGUGUCCCCUGCUUUCCUUAUUUCCUUUUUUAUUGUAUGAACUUUGGCUUUCUUAAUAAAGCUGGGCGUCUAUCCUGAGUGUGAGCAUUCAUAGUUGUGAACUUGUGAUACUAUUGUUUAACUUGCUGCAAAGACUACUUUUACUUGCAAUUGGUUCAUAAAAUGGUCUGGUGCUUUAGGAGGUCUGCUCCCACAAUUACUUAAGAUCUAGUGCUGUUCUAAAGUCUAAACCAAGGAGCAAAUGAAGAAUUAUCUGUAGUUAGCAGUUGUGUUUUGAGAAGAGUACUUCCUUAUCUGGAGAUUCUAGACAUUUGUUAUCUGGGGAAGUUCACUAAUGAACACAGAAAAGUGAUUAACCUAAUGAAUAUUCUUAUAUCCUUGGUUUGUUAGCAGUUCUGGAUUUUGAAGCCCUUUCUUUGAUUAAAUAAGAAAGGACUACUUGGAAAGCGACACAGACACUGGUACAUCAGGAAAACCUUUAGAACUCACCGUUCAACUUGAUCUUCGCAGGAAAAAGCUUCUUCUCUAUUAAGACAAAAUAGCAAUAAAUAGACCAGCCAGCCGAGUGAACAAAGCCAGCCACAGCUUCUCUCUUCCUUCUAGCUCACGGGGAAGGAAGAAAAGACUUUUCUUAUUCCAAGCCAGCUACGGGACAAGUGAAACGGGCAGUUAGUUCAGUGAGGACAGCAGUUCCAGCAAAGACAGUGGAAUGCCUUGGUAAAGCUGUUCAUUCUCAACGGGAAAGGAUUUAUCUAUUGCAACGGGGCUAGUUUCAACAAGGUGAGCAAAGCUAGAUACUUAGGCUUGUCCAGUUGUUCCACCAACCCCUGCUCCCGACCCAGAUUCUUCUUGGCAGCUCAAGACCUUUCUUGUUCCUUGCUCCCGUGGAUCGAUACUAGUUACUUACCUUUAAUCUUAGCUUAGUGUCUUUUACCUAACCUACUCGCUCGCCGAGCUUUUUUUAUCUUGGUUAUUGGCUUUUUUACUCAAGUUAGAGCUUUUCUUUCCUGGCUUUUUCACUCGAGUUGUUUAAUUGUUCGCUUGGCUUUAGCUCAUUUUUUUGUCCAUUUCUUCUCUUUACAGAUCCCCUCGAAGUAGGAAGAAGAAUGGCAAUGAAAAAUAAUAGCAAUAGUCGUCUCGUAGGUGCAGGUGCUGGUGAAAGAAUAGCUUAUGGGGCUGGAGUCAAAGGAGCUUUCAUAGACAUAGAAAUCAUAAUAGAAAGAGCAGGCCUGCGAGCAGCGAGUGCCCUUUGUAAGUUGCGAGCCUGCCUGUCAAACCAUAGGCGCCUUACCGCCCCCCCUUUCUUUUUUUAAUUAGAAAGAAGGGGACGGGGGGAUGAAAGACAAAGAAAGAGAUCAGGUUAUUUAUGAUCGGAGAAAAGGAAGGGGCGUGGUUGAUGUGUCACUGGGAACCCGUAGGAAGGGGAGACGACCGGCCUCAUUCACAUCUGAAAUCGCCAACAUGAACACAAACGAAAUCGUCGAAUUUCGUAUAGAAAGAAAAGGAACCACUUCUAUUCUCUUUUCUUAGGUAUAUGAAGAAUUGCUUUUUGGUCCCUUUCGUCCAGUGGUUAGGACAUCGUCUUUUCAUGUCGAAGACACGGGUUCGAUUCCCGUAAGGGGUAGGUACUUAUUCCCGGCCGGCGGUAUCAUUGCUGAGUGAUCGAUCGCUCGCUAUCUGGCUUGAAAAGGUGGCCCGGGAGCUUUCGGAGAAGGCCGAAAAAUGCAUUUAUCCUUUGAAUUACUCAUUGAAUGGAAUUUCAUUUCAUGAUACGCUUCGAACGUACGUGUUCCCGAUUAAUUGGGAAGUGGUUAUUUUCACAAGAUUAUUUGUCCCCGGAUCUACUGUGUCUUAUUCUUAUUUUGUUCGUUAUUUUGACCUGUUUUAUUCUUUUAAAGAAGAAGGAGGAUUUUUCCUCCCCUCCAGAAAGUAUAAUCUCCAUUUUUGCAUGUCUUUCCGCUAUUUUAAUGGCUGUAUUAGCAUCGGGCCCUUCAGUUGUACAAGCUAUGGAUCACCCCCCUGUUAGGGGUGAACCCAGUAAUUCCCUUCCCCGGUCCGCAGCGUCCAACUCCGCUGUGGCCUCUACCCCCUCCUCGUCUUUUUUCCAAGGACUUUCGGGGCAGAUCCCCGCGGCACCAGAUUCCCCCGGGGAAGAAGUACAGCAGCCCAACUUUUUAUCCCUGCCGGAAGAGGAUACCAUGGAACACUUAUUAGGGGCUGUUCCAGAGCGGGGUACUGCAGUUUCGGGAGUAGAAGGCCCGUCCUGUUCAGAUGUAAAUACUAAACUCGGGGAAUUUCUUUCCACCUAUGGGAAAACCGCUACCCGGAAGGAUUACUUUUCCCGUUUGGUGGAGGAAUUGCAGCUUGGCUCCUCAGAUCAGGAGGACCGGCUUAAAUUAUUUUCUAUUAUGCAUUCCAUAGGACAGGGGGAUAGAGAAACCCUGAAGAGUGAGGCAGGGGGCACCCUCGUGGAGGAAUAUGAAAAGUAUUACAAACCAAAAUAUGGUAAAUCCAUAUACUUGGGGCGUAAUAAGUAGGUUAGGUUCCUUUCCUCCUCUAUCCCUGGACUCUACGCAGGACUUCUUUCUAAGCCUCACAUAAUUUGAAUUUCUCUGACAUUCCAUGUUUCCGAAACGGAUCCUAUAAAAUAUUUCACUUUUUCUAUGAUCAUCUCUAUUUUAGGUAUUCGGGGAAUCCUCCUUAAUAGACGAAAUAUUCUUAUUAUGUCAAUGCCAAUUGAAUCAAUGUUAUUAGCUGUCAAUUUGAACUUUUUGGUAUUUUCCGUUUCUUUGGAUGAUAUGAUGGGUCAAUCAUUUGCUUCAUUAGUUCCAACAGUGGCAGCUGCGGAAUCUGCUAUUGGAUUAGCCAUUUUCGUUAUUACUUUUCGAGUCCGAGGGACUAUUGCUGUCGAAUUUAUAAAUUGCAUUCAAGGUUAAACAUAACUACAGGAGAGUUACCAAAUACAAAGUUCUGUUCUCCUUUCGUUCUCUUCUUUCUUUUCUUUUUAUUUUAUCAAUAUUUGAUAACUCUUUCUCACCAUAACUGUACUCCUGUUGUUUCAUUAAGGCGGGGGCGUAUGUGUCUUUCCUCUGCCUGAUCUGCACCUUCUUCGCGAUCCUUCUCUUACCUCUACCGGAAGGUGGCUGGAAGAAGCCGUGGGUGGAGUUGGCCCAUGCCCAUCUUGCCUCCCUUCAUCAUCCUCUGGUAAGUGAGGAGAUGGGAUGCCGAUCUGAAACCAGCUAUCUUUCCACUUCUAUCGCUUCCUAAUAGGGCUGGGUUGUGGGAUGAAUAAUCGUAUCCCCCUGAGAAAGCUCUUUAACAGAGCUGUACAAAGGAAGUCUGCACCUUCCCACUUAUCCGGACAAGGCAACAACUGCUUUUCGUGCUGACCCAGAGGAGCAUGCACGGGAGUCGACCGGACCAGAACCGCUUUCUUUCCGGCCGAAGUACCGCUUUAAGAAUACAGUAGUGGAAGCCCUGUGAAGACUUCUUCUCGAUCAAAACUCGUAGAGAAAUCAGAACAGUUGAAGGAAGGGACACCCCUUAUAAUUGAAUUCACUUUAUUUUCUUCCGAAAAAAUCCCGGGGCAUCGAAUUCUUUAUCCGUUGGCAAAAACGCUAGUUUUGAACCAAAAGAACCGAAAGGCACUGAAAGUUGUUUCGUCAGAUCCACCUUCCGAACUUGAAACCGCUAAAUCGGAUUUUGAAAAAGGCACUGGCGUCCCCGAAGGGUCUAGUUGAUAAGAAGUAAUCAAAAUGGUUCGCUUGUGGAUAUCGGACCCAUGGAGCUCAUAAGAAAAGAGUAUGCUUUGAAAAAGCUCUUUUUGGGCUAGAUAAAAUAUAAACUGCAUACUUUGAAUGAGAAGUUGGCUAUUCUCGAGGCAGCCCCGCACUUAAAGUAGUUUGUGUUUGUUCUACGGAAUUCAAUAAAGCAUGAGUUCGGAGUUCCUAAGUUCGUAGAACCUAGUGGAAUGAAUCAAGCGAGCUAGACCUGUUGAUCAAACUAGAGCUAGUAUUUCAAAUAAAAUCAAAUCGUAUCGUAUAGAAAGUGAAGUUCAGUUCCAUGUCGGUAUCUUCGUCGGUAUCUUCCUGAAUUCAAGAAAGUAGGACAUUAUUAGGUAAGCACUAGAGUAGAGGCACGCACCCCGAACUGUUUGGAAAGCAAUUCAACGAAGCAAGCUGGUUGUUUAUGACCCUAGUAUGUUCUUUAGAAAAAAAGGAAGUGGGGCGCUCGCCGGACAUCAAUGAUUUCAAAAGGGACAUGCGAGGCACUACUUCCCUUCUUGUUUAUAACCUGCUCCUUAUCCGAUUGAAAACCCUAGUAUUCCUACUUCAGGGACAACCCUUGUUAACCGAGUUCAGGGCAAACCCUAGCAUUGUUUGACGGCAAAGGAAACUAGAAAUUAGUUGAUUUAAUUGAAGGAAGUGAGCGGCUACCAUUCGAGGAGCCAGCUUCUCCAACUUCUGCCUUUCCGAGGCAUAUACCUAACCAGCUUGUUCGCAUCAGUCACUCCUGCUCGAAAGACUACCUUUGCCAUUUCGAUUGAUCAUCUUUCUUCCGCCUAGUUCACAGGCGGGUUUCGAUAACCACCUACUAAUCUGGGGUCGCCUCCACCAGCGAGUUCUAGUUCAUUGCUUCCUUCUCUUGUCGGGCAACAAAUUAAUUGGAAUUCCGAAUGAGCAUUAGGAACCCAUACUAAAAGAUCAGUUUUUCGUGUAGAAAUUGCAUCAUCUUUUGUUGUUUUCAGCCUUUACCGCUUGCAAGGGUAGUAGGAAGCAUGUGAUUUUGUGAAUGUAUAUUGGUUCGGUUUUGCUCGUGUUGCAUCGUUGAGUUCGCUGGACAUCCUUAACAAUUUUGUUCGCUCUUGGAAAUAGCAAAAUUAUGUGCAUCUCAUGUGUUUGUACAGCAAUUGGAGGUACAACUACAAAGUGCAUGACCAGAGAGCUGGGAGAAAUGCUUGAUCCCCGAAUCAUGCUGAAAGUGCAAGUUCUCAGUGGACUCGCGUCUGGAACAUGCAAAGCGCCAAAUAGUAUGUUAGUGAUUCAUCAAGAUCCUGGUCCAUUUCUGAAGAAAUCUAAUUUGAUCCCCUCCAAUCUGAUCUGACAAAACCGAUCAAGAUCCACGAAAAACAUAUUCUACUCAGCAAAUUAGUCAUGACUCCAGCUUCUUCUCAAACUUCUACCACGAGUUCAUCUGCUACUCUACAAUCAAAUGCUGUUGUGGAGUUCAAUCACACAGUAUCCUUCAAAUUAUCUCAAGAUAACUUCUUGCCCUGGAAAUCACAAGUCUUACCUUGACUUCUCGGUCAUGAACUGAUGGGGUACCUUGAUGGAUCAGUGGAACAACCUCCUCCUACGAUCUCCAUUGUCGAUUCGAACAAUUCCACACAGAUUGUUCCGAAUCCAGCUUAUUCAACGUGGAUCCGACAAGAUCUGCUCCUCUUAGGCUGGUUGUUUUCAACAAUGCAACCAGAGAUAGUUGCUCAGGCUGUUCACUGUCGUACCCCCUCUCAGCUGUGGGCUUCGUUGCAGCAAACAUUUGCAUCAAAUAAAUUCGAUAGCUCGUAUAAUAGAGUUGCAUUUCCAACACUCUCUUUUUCUACGUACACUUUUGAUUCCUCAGUAGGUAGGGACAACGUUCGAGAUCUCAUCCGACCGUCUAUUUAUCACUGAUUGGGAGAUUGGAUUGGAAUCCGAGGAGAACUGAUUGGAUGUCAUGGAACGAAUGGGGCACUACGUUGGUUACCCACUGCUAGCCUAGCGGAGAUUUCUCUAUUUGUUGAAAGUGGAAAGGAGUCAUAUUUGAAUCGGAAAGUUGGGCUCGUUCACUCACACCUUUCUUUGAUUAUCGAUGACUUGGCUUCUUGCUCAAGUAAGCACCCGGCAUACCAAUUCAUUAUCCUUGGGGCUCGCUCCUUCCUAUCUACGUUAUUCUUUCUUUGUUACUCUCGUAAUGACGUUCCGAAAGAAAUCAAGGUUACCAGGUCACAGCUCUGAUUCUUCUUCCCUUAUAGAACCUUCCCGAAAGAAAUCAGUAGCUGGGGUGGGUCCGCCCCUACAACUCAUCAAAUCUGCCUUCUUUUCUGUUCUGCGCUGUACAUAUUCUCAAGUUAUGAGAAAGAAUGGAUUUUAAUGAAAUUUUUCAUUAAAAAAAUAAACGAAUGAAGAAUAUUUUGACCUCUUAUCUGAUAAGCAAUCAAAGCAUUUGAACUGCUCAAUGAACAAUAAAUAAAGAGCUAAGGUCAAAAAGUAUAUGUGUUACUAAUAGUAAACCAAUUUUUUUUUUAGUUUGCUUUCAGCUGAACAUGAUGAACAUGUUCUAACUAAAAAUGAGGUGAGGCUUGAUUAGGUGGCUUUGCAAGAACUAGGGAGGAACACAAGUUAUGUACUUUAGGCUAAACAUAUUAAUUUAGAAGAUCAACUUUUCCAAUUGGACAUAAACAAAAGCAACCAAUAAUAUAUAUAUAUAUAAACUUCCAUAAUAUUUUCUCUAUGGUGAAGUAAUUUCAUCGAUAACCACUAAACAAUUAAGUAGCGAUGUAUGCAAAGCUAGACAACGAACAUUUCAUAAUACACUCGUUCUGCAUAUCUUUAGGAUAAAAGAAAAAACAGCGAAUAAAAAAGUUUUCCUAAAAAAAAAGAUCAAGAAAUCUAUUUUGUAUGGUUCUUAUUUCGUUGAAAACGUUUCCAUGAGACUUUCUUUCAUUGAAGAAGUCCAUGACUUGUUCUAGGUGAUAUGAGGUUGAACAGGCUUUAGAAAAAAUGCAAAGAAGGGUACAUAAGGGUGGAAUAAAAAACCAAAAAAUGACCCCUUCUUUCUUCCUGAGCAUUACCGAGAAAUAUUCUUUCUUUAUACGUUAGGUUGGGUUUCAGAUGUAUAUCAUUUAUUAUAUGAAACCAAAAAGAAGAAAUGACAAGAAAGUUGUAUAUAGAUGGAGGAUAAAAUUACGAUGUGGAAAACAAGACAGGGGUUUUUUUUUUACAAUGACACUGUACAACAAUUUGGAAAAGGGAUGUAGCGCAGCUUGGUAGCGCGUUUGUUUUGGGUACAAAAUGUCACGGGUUCAAAUCCUGUCAUCCCUACCUAUUACUUCUCCUAUGGGCAGUAACGAGGGAUCAAUUGAGAUCGAUUCAAAUUGGACAAAAUUCAGAGUUUCAUUUUUCUAUAUGCAUGCGAAAAUCAUCCUUUUCUUUACUGCUUUAUCUCCUGUCGUAAGAAAGCGCUCUUAGUUCAGUUCGGUAGAACGUGGGUCUCCAAAACCCAAUGUCGUAGGUUCAAAUCCUACAGAGCGUGAUUCUGUUCUUGUUAUGUAAAAAAAAAAAAAAGAACUUAACAAAGUGGAAUGUCCGACUACUGUUCUUAACCCAAAUAAAAGAAAAGAACAGAAAUACUCGACCAGGAGAGGAGACCACUGACCAAUCUCCGUCCAUUUUCCCUUGCCUUUCCUUUACGGGUAUGCCUGUUUUAGGGGACCUUAUAGUAAUAAUAGUCUAAUAGACCAACUAGAGGAGAGGAAUCCUUCAUGAAUCGCCUUGCCUUGCUUAAAGAGGUUUCUGACGCCCGUGGAACUCUUGUUUUGAGGAAGCAAUGAACAUUGUCUUUUUCCAUUCUCAAUAAAUGAGGAAGGAGGGGUGAGGUCCUCACUUGCGAGUGAGGCAAGGCUUUCUUUUAUAAUACAUCCUACCCGAUUUUGGUUGACGAUUGCGUUCUAUUCCAAUUAUUCACUUGUUUUUCUUGUUACUGUGGCGAGACCAGAUGAGAGAGAGAACUAUUUUCCAUUUCCAGACAGACCCCGAGCCGAGGAAUAAUUCUUUAUUUUUUUGUUGGUUCCUUCUUUCUUAUUUAGAAUAAGUGAGUCUCUUCCAUUCGGUUCAUUAGCUUUAGGAAAAAUAGAAGCAGCGGACGCUUCUAAAAGGCUUAAAGGCUCUGAUCAAGGCAAUGAACAUUUUUAACUUGGAAACUAAUAAGAAAGGAAUUCCAAUCAUAGUUCAAUACAGACUUUUUAUCCUUUAAUAAGGGUUAAACUUUCCUUCCAAUACUUGUGCGCUUUACCCAUCUCUACUGAACAAACCCACUACACAUCGCUGGCAAAACCUACAUCGAGUGGCAGGGUAUGUGUGUAGGCCUUUUCAAAUUCGAAACAACAUGUCGAUAAAUAGCUAUAGAAUAGAAGGGGCCAUAAACAGGGGAGUCUUGACCAUUUCGUGGGUGAUCUUUCAAACUCUUGUUUUUCUAGCGAAAGAACGCCCUUCUGAGCGAUGAUCUCCUACAAGCGAGUAUAGUAAGGUUGACUUCAAUUGAGACAGAAAUGUCACUGGUCAGCUCCUUAGCGUGACAAUUAACAUCACUUUCUUAUUACCUAAGAGAUUAGAUAAGGGAAGAAGGCAGGCCAAAGCUUAUAGAUUCGGAGAUCGUACUUCUAACGCUUUGUCUGAGUCAGUCCUACGACCCCUUCCGGCUGAGACACGAAUCCUAGCCUAUCUGAGUCGCAGAAUGAAGGGCUCUUCAGAAGGCGCCACCCAAGUCUCCUUUGAGACUUCGGAGUCAGGAAUGAUUUUUCCAAGGAAGGCGGAUUUUCUUCGUUCCGCAGCACGAGCAGGGAGAAGAUCGAUGUGCCUUCUAACCACGUUCAUUUGUUGUAUGAUCAGUAGGGAAGGGAGCCUUUGAUAAAGGUACCCCAACCAAGAAAUCUACUGUCUCAGAGCGACAGUCAAGCUCGUAUCGCGGAACUAGACUAGAACAUUUCUUUGAUUGAUAGGUCAGAUAGGAAGCAGGCAAGCAAACCAAGUUAUAGGUUUGGAAGUUAGAACUAGGAAAGGUUGUCCUGUGACUACCUUUGAAGUCUUUGGGUAGGACAUCAGGCUAAGGUCUUAUGAUGAGCCACGCGCAUAUGAGGUUUACUGCAGCCCUAAAGCUCUGUCCCCUAUCCUACCACUAGAUCCCCUAUGCCGGAACAUGAACAGAGAAAGCUGUGAGUGUAGUCUUAGGAACGAACCCGGGGUUGCUCUCGCAAAAAGAUUGUACUAAAGAAAGCUAGAAAGCCCAAUUCCAAGCAAGCAACCUUCUGGUCCACGGGUCGGUGAACGAAUGGGUUUUGGGAAAUAGAGAACAUGGACUCGAUUGAACAAAGGUGGCACCGGAAUGAAUAGCCCACUUGUUUCGGGCAAGAAUGAAUGGGACUGAUCGACUCGAGUUACCGAGCGACCUCCACUCUUCGACUCGAGCUUUCGCUUCUGCUUUUCUCUUUUUUUUAUUUAUUAGCUUUUUAGGGAAAGAAGAGGAAAUACAACUAUGUCUACGAGUGCCGCGAAUGAACCUUCGGUUCUUCCCAAGAACAAGGAGACACGAACUAAAUAACUCGUAUCAGGCUACGGGAAUAGUGAACGGGAAGAAGGAACUAGUGAGGCUUUCGUUGGUCAAACAAUAUGCCCUCCUCACUUGAGGAGAGUGAAGGUCAUGACUUAUUGAAGGUCAAUUGGCCAAGAGAAGGGGAACUCCUUUCGUCGGUAACUAUUGAAUUGCCUAUCUAACAGUGGAGCGAAACGGAACGGGAAGGGAAACUCGUGUCGUCGGUUAUCCAAUUUCCCUCCUUUCUGUUUCGACAAAGAAAACGUUUAGGUAUCGGUAAUAGGAUUCCCACUAUGAUUUGAAGAAAAAGAUAGAUUCUAUAAUAAUCUACAAAUAAUAUAUAGAAUCAGGCUCCGUAAUCAAGUGCUCGCUGUGAGAAGAAGAUCUACAGGCAUGUACCCAUUUCUCCCUGCAAAAUAAGUUUGAACCCGAGUGAGUAUGGACCAUACGCUCAUCUUUCUUCUCAAUCUACACCUCGUUCCGCGAGAGACCUAUCCUCGUUUCGAAAUAAAGGACCAUAGUGAGGAUCGAUCCCGGAUAAGUGAGUCAGUGUAGGGACAGAGGCUGAUGAUUCUAAAGGUGAUUUAAAACUACAAGAUGACUUUAUUUGAAAACGGAAUCCAAAUAUCAACAAAAAGAUGAAUGGAAAGUCUUGUCGAUAUGAAUUGAAAAGAAAUGACAAUGCUUCGAUUUCGAUCUUUACUUCUUUCUUGGAUGCCUGAAGUUUGUGUUCGCAUUUCAUCAAAGGAAAAGUGGGCUGUACCUACAUGAAGAAAAGAGUUGCUCGUGUAAAAGCAAUAUCUUCUAUUUGACUUAUCUAGCCGUGUCUUGCACAUACUCGGCUCGGUGAAUGGUUCAUCUUCGAUUGGCAUGGUCCUUUGGAUGUAAGAGAUCUCGUUUGCUGGCCGGGCCCUUCCAUGAGUUUAGAUCUCUAUGUAUGAAUCUCUUAUGAAAUCCCAUACUUUUUAUCAUUUAAGAACGAUCAGCAUACUGUGUGACUUCUGCGUGACAGUUCUUGCAUUUCGUUUGUUGCUUUGCAUGAACAUUUAGAUAUUGGAAAGCGAACUCCCUUAAUUAGGAAUUUCAUAGAUAGAGAAGGACGGGAAAAAAGAGAGAGACUGACUAACUACCCGGAUCAAUGCUGAUUGACGACUGAAUAAAUAGCCGGAAGCAACAACUGCACGAGAGAGAAAGAGCGGAUCCAACUAAGGAAAUGCAGUACAGUACCUGUUCUGUCGGAGCUAAUCAUGCAAAGCUAGCGUAGCGCCAGCCGUCGAAGUGAAUGAAUUCGAAAGAACGAAGAA
rnacentral:lncRNA from 1 species